GGCGAGCAACGCUGGCCAUUUAGAUUAUAACACGUUUCUGUUCGCUGUCACAUCUUUUCUGUCGCUUAAGGGAUGUUUUAAGACAUUAAAAAUACAUGGAACAUUUUGCAGAAGGGCGAUAAUGCGCUUAAAUGGGGGAUUCUGGGGGAAUGAUUUAGAACACCUUUCCCACGGAUGGAAAAUGACAAUUCCUUUUUUCAACCCAAUACCUUAUUUAUGUUGCGUUAAAAUCUCCUACAUAUGGGUCAAAUCAAUGGAGUGUGUGUGCGUGUGUGAGCGUGUGUGUGUGUGUGUGUGUGCGCGCACGCGAGUGUGUGCGUGUGUGUUUGUGUGUUUUGGAUCCAAAGUUGCUCUGUCUAUGCUGACAGACCAUGGUUCAAUUGUUCUAGGUUCCCCUGCUAACCAUAUGUCAGGAUCAGUAUAGUGCCAUCCCUGUAAUACGUCAUUAGUCGAAAUUAUAAAGGAAAUAAAUUCGAGUACAGAUUUUGUAAAACAUUUGAAGGUGAUAACUAUAAUUUUACUACACUGAUAAUUGUUUCUUCGAUUAUCAGUUGGGAAAUUCUGAAUGCACAAUGCAUGGCAUUGUAUGUGGAAUUGUGUUCUCCAUCAUUGGCUUAUAUUGACCUACAUUUCAUCAAUAUACUCACUGAAUUAUAUUUGAAAAUAAAAACUUGAAUGUAGUCAAAGUAAUUCAGUUGAAAAUAUGUUUUAUGCCAUGUAAGACAGUUCUUUGUGUGAAUUGAAUUUGGGCCUGCCACAACAAAGGAAACUGCAGUACACAAUCCCAAAAGUUAGUCUUAAGAGAGACAUACACAAGCUUAUUAUUUUCAUACUUAUUUUACACCAUUGCACAAUAAUAACAGCUGAAAAUACGUCGAUUAAUUUUUGUUGCUUGUAAACGCUUGUAAUUGUUAUUGUGUGCAGCGAAUCCAGGCCCACAUAGGCCUAUUUAGCUGCAUCAGAUAGCCUAUGACUCAAAUAUUUAAUAUGUCCUGUAUUACAUAUCCUUUCAUUUAGUCUAAUUUACAUGUGUAAAGAACUAUAAUUAUGAGCUUAACAGUCCUAUAGCGCCAUAAUAAACGUGAAACAUGGGGCCAAAAUGUGAUUGAUUGAAUAUAGGCCUAUCAGCAAACUUUUUUUCCUUAACGCUUUCUCAUUUAACCUAUUUUAUGCUAACAGAUACUGCAGAAGAUCCUCGUGACACUUUUAUUAUUAUGGAUGUGCUCGUGCGGAGGAGGCGCGGGAACAAGGCUACAGCAAAAGCUUCUGAUGUGCCCACGCGCUAAGGGAGACAAAACGAGAGGCUUUUAUACAAUGUUUUCGGUAUUUAUUGUCACUAUCAAAUAAACUAUUAUGUUAUAGAUUAUUAUAGGUAAUAUUGAUUCUGAGAUAAUGUGAAUUACAUUUUUGUGAUGAAAUAGCAUGCCCUCUAAAGUCCUACCAGUGUUUUUCCUCCUCAUAAAUAAUUUAUGGAAUAAUAAGAUGUUUGUUAUUAUUAUUAUGCCUAUUAUUAUUGCUUCCUUAUUGUAGUUUGUUCCAUGUGUUAUAUGUUUAAAUACCCUCGAAAUCCAGGUUGAAAGAUACAAUGCAUAUUUAAAUUCAUUUCUUUAUUUAUUCGAACUGGAGCAGCAUGGAAUGUAUGACACUGAAAAAUAAACUUGGUGAUAUCUAGAAUAUUUGUUCAAUAAAGAAACGUCUAAUAUCU